rnacentral:lncRNA from 1 species
AAGAAAUAUGAAUUAAUAAUGGUAAAAAUACAGAAGAAGCCUCUAUAGUAGUAAGAGAAUCCCACUUUAUUUUUUUGAUGGGUAAAAUACGAAAAUAUAUUAAAAGCCUUGGGAAAGAGUGCAACAAUGUGCACACGUAGUAUACAAAAAGCACCCAAAGGCAGAAUGACAGAAAAGAGAACAACAUGGGAAAACCAACCAGGCACACGACCUAACACCCAAGAAAAACAAGUUUUACCUAGCUAACUCUCAAACCCCCCACAACUCAACUUGAAAUCCUCAUUGAACAAGAGUUUGAUCCCCAUUGCUUCGCCCCUUGCCCCUAACUAUCAUAAAAACAAGUUUUACCUAGCUAACUCUCAAGCCCCCCACAACUCAACUUGAAAUCCUCACU